GCCUGGAUAGCUCAGGUGGUUAGAGUACAGUGCUGAUAGUGCCAAGGUUGCAGGUUUGAUCCCUGUAUGGGACA